UCAGGAUGAACGCUAGCUACAGGCUUAACACAUGCAAGUCGAGGGGCAGCAUGAUCUUAGCUUGCUAAGAUUGAUGGCGACCGGCGCACGGGUGCGUAACGCGUAUCCAACCUGCCGUGUACUCCGGGACAGCCCUCUGAAAGGAGGAUUAAUACCGGAUGUGGUCAUUUGGAGACAUCUCUUAAUGAUUAAAGAUUUAUCGGUACACCGAUGGGGAUGCGUACGAUUAGGUAGUCGGCGGGGUAACGGCCCACCGAGCCAACGAUCGUUAGGGGUUCUGAGAGGAAGGUCCCCCACAUAGGAACUGAGACACGGUCCUAACUCCUACGGGAGGCAGCAGUGAGGAAUAUUGGUCAAUGGGCGAGAGCCUGAACCAGCCAAGUAGCGUGAAAGGAUGACUGCCCUAUGGGUUGUAAACUUCUUUUAUAGGGGAAUAAAGUGCGUCACGUGUGGCGUUUUGUAUGUACCCUAUGAAUAAGCAUCGGCUAAUUCCGUGCCAGCCGCUGC
rnacentral:rRNA from 1 species